UACGUAGGGGGCAAGCGUUAUCCGGAAUCAUUGGGCGUAAAGCGCGUGUAGGCGGCUAGGUAAGUCGGAUGUGAAAGCCCCAGGCUCAACCUGGGAAGUGCACUCGAUACUGCUUAGCUCGAGUACUGGAGAGGUUGGUGGAAUUCUCGGUGUAGAGGUGAAAUUCGUAGAUAUCGAGAGGAACACCGGUGGCGAAGGCGGCCAACUGGACAGAUACUGACGCUGAGACACGAAAGGCGUGGGGAGCAAACAGG
rnacentral:rRNA from 1 species